rnacentral:SRP_RNA from 1 species
CCGCACUAAUCGGGGAAGUAGCGGCACCCUGUACCCAUAAUCCGCUAUAAUGGGGAUGAAUACUCUUUUGAGGUAUUGAUUAUAUAAGGUCUGAAGCUUUGAAAAAUAUGAUGAGAGUCGGGUCCUGUGCAACAAAACGUUAUGAACCUCGUCAGGUCGGGAACGAAGCAGCGAUAAGUAAUUGUUUUGUGUGCCCCAGGGUAGCCGGAUUUGAAUAUUUUUACUCAGUUAACGCUUAUGUACUCAUAUCGACAAUGAGUUGUGCGG